UACAGAGGAUGCAAGCGUUAUCCGGAAUGAUUGGGCGUAAAGAGCGUGUAGGCGGCCAGGUAGGUCUGCUGUGAAAACUCGAGGCUCAACCUCGAGACGUCGGCGGAAACCAUCUGGCUAGAGUCCGGAAGAGGAGAGUGGAAUUCCUGGUGUAGCGGUGAAAUGCGCAGAUAUCAGGAGGAACACCGAUAGCGAAGGCGGCUUUCUGGCCUGUUCUUGACGCUGAGGCGCGAAAGCUAGGGGAGCGAACGGG
rnacentral:rRNA from 1 species